rnacentral:rRNA from 1 species
UACGGAGGGUGCAAACGUUGCUCGGAAUUAUUGGGCGUAAAGCGCACGUAGGCGGCCGAUUAAGUCGGGUGUGAAAGUCCAGGGCUCAACCCUGGAAGUGCACUCGAAACUGGACGGCUUGAAUAUGGAAGAGGGUUGCGGAAUUCCCGGUGUAGAGGUGAAAUUCGUAGAUAUCGGGAGGAACACCAGUGGCGAAGGCGGCAACCUGGGCCAAUAUUGACGCUGAGGUGCGAAAGCGUGGGGAGCAAACAGG